rnacentral:lncRNA from 1 species
AGUGCCAUGGCUGAUGAGAUCCAGGCACAGUUGGACAAGCUGGGAAGCCGGAAGGAGGAGGUGUCGGAGAAGUGGGACCGGCACUGGGAGUGGCUGCAACAGAUGCUGGAGGUACACCAGUUUGCUCAGGAGGCCGUGGUGGCUGACGCCUGGCUGACAGCUCAGGAGCCGCUCCUGCAGAGCCGGGAGCUGGGCAGCAGUGUGGAUGAGGUGGAGCAGCUUAUCCGGCGACACGAGGCCUUCCGAAAAGCGGCUGCGGCGUGGGAGGAGAGGUUCAGCUCUCUGCGGCGCUUGACCACGAUCGAGAAACUCAAGGCAGAACAGAGUAAGCAGCCACCCACCCCAUUGCUGGGGCGCAAGUUCUUUGGGGACCCCACAGAGCUGGCGGCCAAGGCAGCACCCUUGCUGCGUCCAGGGGGCUAUGACAGGGGCCUGGAGCCUUUGGCCCGCAGGGCCUCGGACACGCUGUCAGCGGAGGUGCGGACCCGGGUUGGUUAUGUGCGCCAGGAGCUCAAGCCCGAGCGUCUCCAGCCGCGCAUUGACCGGCUGCCGGAGACCUCGGGGAAGGUAGAACCCGCGGCCCCAACAGCCGCAGCGUUGGACACGACGGACACCCCUGGAACUCCGGCGGUGACGGAGCAGGUCCGGCCCCGGCCGGAGCGCCAGGAGUUAGCGGAUCGUGCGGAGGAGCUGCCACGGAGACGAAGAUCAGAACGCCAGGAGUCCACGGAUCAACCCGAGGAGGCAGCGCGGAGGCGGCGGCCUGAGCGCCAGGAGUCCGCGGACCACGAGGGGCCUCACAGCCUUACUCUGGGUCGCUAUGAGCAAAUGGAGAGGCGGAGGGAGCGGCGGGAGCGGCGGAUAGAACGACAGGAGUCUAGCGAGCAGGAGACUCCCACCAGAGGAGAGCUGGUCAAAGGGAAGGCCACCCUGGCUGACAUCGUGGAGCAGC